rnacentral:rRNA from 1 species
CCUACGGGUGGCAGCAGUCGAGAAUCAUUCACAAUGGGGGAAACCCUGAUGGUGCGACGCCGCGUGGGGGAAUGAAGUUCUUCGGAUUGUAAACCCCUGUCAUGUGGGAGCAAAUUAAAAAGAUAGUACCACAAGAGGAAGAGACGGCUAACUCUGUGCCAGCAGCCGCGGUAAUACAGAGGUCUCAAGCGUUGUUCGGAAUCACUGGGCGUAAGGCGUGCGUAGGCUGUUUCGUAAGUCGUGUGUGAAAGGCGCGGGCUCAACCCGCGGACGGCACAUGAUACUGCGAGACUAGAGUAAUGGAGGGGGAACCGGAAUUCUCGGUGUAGCAGUGAAAUGCGUAGAUAUCGAGAGGAACACUCGUGGCGAAGGCGGGUUCCUGGACAUUAACUGACGCUGAGGCACGAAGGCCAGGGGAGCGAAAGGGAUUAGAUACCCGUGUAGUC